GUCUGUAUGUAGUUAUAUAGAGUCUAGCCUGCCCAGUGAAUUUUGUUUUAAAGGCCGCAGUAAUUUGACUGUGCAAAGGUAGCAUAAUAAUUAGUUUUUUAAUUGAAGGCUUGUAUGAAUGGUUGGACAAAGAAAACCCUGUCUUUUUUGUUAUGUUUGAAUUUUACAUUUAAGUGAAAAGGCUUAAAUAAAUUUAAGGGACGAUAAGACCCUAUAAAUCUUUACAUUGAAUUAAAUUUUUUUAUAGUUUUUAUAGAGUUUAAUAAUGUUAUGUUGGGGCAACAGAAAUAAAGAAGGAAACUGUUUUAUAAAAUAAACAUUUAUAUAUGAACAAGAUAAAAGAUCCUUUAAAAAGAUUAAAAGUUUAAGUUACUUUAGGGAUAACAGCGUUAUUUUUUUUGAAAGUUCUUAUUGAAAAAAAAGUUUGCGACCUCGAUGUUGAAUUAAAAUUUCUCUAUGGUGCAGAAGUUAUAAGAGAGAGUCUGUUCGACUUUUAAAAUUUU
rnacentral:rRNA from 1 species